rnacentral:rRNA from 1 species
GACAGAGGGGGCAAGCGUUGCUCGGAAUCACUGGGCGUAAAGGGCGCGUAGGCGGCCAACUAAGUCAGACGUGAAAUCCCUCGGCUCAACCGGGGAACUGCGUCUGAUACUGGAUGGCUUGAAUUCGGGAGAGGGAUGCGGAAUUCCAGGUGUAGCGGUGAAAUGCGUAGAUAUCUGGAGGAACACCGGUGGCGAAGGCGGCAUCCUGGACCGAGAUUGACGCUGAUGCGCGAAAGCCAGGGGAGCAAACGGG